rnacentral:rRNA from 1 species
AAUAUUGCACAAUGGGGGAAGCCCUGAUGCAGCGACGCCGCGUGAGUGAAGAAGUAUUUCGGUAUGUAAAGCUCUAUCAGCAGGGAAGAAAAUGACUGUAACUGCCUAAGAAGCCCCGGCUAACUACGUUCCAGCAGCCGCGGUAAUACGUAGGGGGCAAGCGUUAUCCGGAUUUACUGGGUGUAAAGGGACAGUAGGUGGUGUGGUAAGUCAGGUGUGAAAGCCCGGGGCUCAACUCCGGGAUUGCACUUGAAACUAUCGGACUAGAGUGCAGGAGAGGUAAGUGGAAUUCCUAGUGUAGCGGUGAAAUGCGUAGAUAUUAGGAGGAACACCAGUGGCGAAGGCGGCUUACUGGACUGUAACUGACACUGAGGCUCGAAAGCGUGGGGAGCAAACAGG